UACGUAGGGGGCGAGCGUUAUCCGGAAUUAUUGGGCGUAAAGGGUGUGCAGGCGGUUUGCCAAGUUCGUGGCGACAGCCAUCGGCUUAACCGAUGGAGGACUGCGAAAACUGGCAGACUUGAGAGCGAGAGAGGGACAUGGAACUCCGGGUGGAGCAGUGAAAUGCGUAGAGAUCCGGAAGAACACCAACGGCGAAGGCAGUGUCCUGGCUCGUCUCUGACGCUCAAGCACGAAAGCUAGGGGAGCGAACAGGAUUAGAUACCCUGGUAGUCCUAGCUGUAAACGAUGACCACUAGACGCACGGAGAUCGACCCUUUGUGUGUCGCAGCUAACGCGAUAAGUGGUCCGCCUGGGGAGUACGACCGCAAGGUUAAA
rnacentral:rRNA from 1 species